GGACGAACGCUGGCGGCGUGCCUAACACAUGCAAGUCGAGCGGAGUCGAUCGACGGAAGCCUUCGGGCGGAAGAUGGUUGACUUAGCGGCGGAUGGGUGAGUAACGCGUGGGCAACCUGCCUCGAAGACCGGGAUAACAGCCCGAAAGGGCUGCUAAUACCGGAUGUGGUCAAGGAUCCGCAUGGAUUUUUGAUUAAAGGGGAAACCCGUUUCGAGAUGGGCCCGCGUCCUAUCAGCUAGUUGGUGAGAUAAAAGCUCACCAAGGCGACGACGGGUAGCCGGCCUGAGAGGGUGACCGGCCACACUGGAACUGAGACACGGUCCAGACUCCUACGGGGGGCAGCAGUGGGGAAUCUUCCACAAUGGGCGAAAGCCUGAACUAGCAACGCCGCGUGUGCGAAGAAGGCCUUCGGGUCGUAAAGCACUUUUUGAGAGGAUGAGGAAGGACGGUACCCUCAGAAUAAGUCUCGGCUAACUACGUGCCAGCAGCCGCGGUAACACGUAGGAGGCAAACGUUAUCCGGAUUUACUGGGCGUAAAGCGCGUGUAGGUGGUUUGGUAAGUAGGGCGUGAAAGCUCCUGGCUCAACUGGGAGAGGACGUUCUAGACUGCCAAGCUUGAGGAUGGUAGAGGGAGGUGGAAUUCCGGGUGUAGCGGUGGAAUGCGCAGAUAUCCGGAGGAACACCAGUGGCGAAGGCGGCCUCCUGGACCACUCCUGACACUCAGACGCGAAAGCUAGGGUAGCAAACGGGAUUAGAGACCCCGGUAGUCCUAGCCCUAAACGAUGUAGACUUGGCGUCGGUGGUUUAAUCGCCAUCGGUGUCGUAGCUAACGCGAUAAGUCUACCGCCUGGGGACUACGGCCGCAAGGUUAAAACUCAAAGGAAUUGACGGGUCCCCGCACAAGCAGCGGAGCGUGUGGUUUAAUUCGAUGCUACACGAAGAACCUUACCUGGGUUUGACAUAGAGGUAGUAGGGAAGCGAAAGCGGACCGACCCUUCGGGGAGCCUCUACAGGUGUUGCAUGGCUGUCGUCAGCUCGUGUCGUGAGAUGUUCGGUUAAGUCCGCUAACGAGCGCAACCCUCGCUGUGUGUUACAAGUGUCACACGGUACUGCCGAUAUUAAGUCGGAGGAAGGUGGGGAUGACGUCAAGUCAGCAUGACCUUUAUAUCCAGGGCUACACACACGCUACAAUGGCCAGUACAAUGGGUUGCCAAGCCGCGAGGCGGAGCCAAUCCUAAAAAGCUGGCCUCAGUUCAGAUUGCAGUCUGCAACUCGACUGCAUGAAGUUGGAGUUGCUAGUAACCGCAGGUCAGCAAUACUGCGGUGAAUACGUUCCCGGGGAU
rnacentral:rRNA from 1 species